ACAAGAGCCCGAGCACCGCCGUCCCGUAUCCUUCUUCCUCCCCCUCAACGCGCCUGCGGCACAAAGUCACCACGGCGACGGUGGGGUGGGGUGGCCUUGAUCUCGAUCCCCACCACGGCCACGGCAUCACCUCCGCGAUCAGCGCUUGGGCGUGACACGUCGCCCGUACCCACCACCCAAGGGCCAACCUCAACCUCAACCUCACGCGCAGCCGCCGUGCCGUGCCCGUGCCCGUGCGGCGUGCGUGCCGACUACUCGCCCGCUUCCAAACACAAAUCCCCCAACUCGCCACUGACUCACUCUCGCCUCGCCCUCCGCCCCUCCCCGCGCCGACGCCGACGGAUCCCGAUCUGCGCUGCCCUAUCUCUCUUGCUUUGGCUGCGGGGGCGAUGGAAGAAGAACCACGCGAGGGCUGGCCGCGUGCGGACGCCGGCGCGGCCGCGGCCGGAGAGGACGAGGACCACUUCGACCGGCUGCCGGACGCCGUGCUCCUCGACGUCUUCAACCGCAUCGGCGACGUCAAGGCGCUGGGCCGCUGCGCGCUCGUCUCGCGCCGCUUCCACGCGCUCGUCCCGCUCGUCGACUCCGUCCUCGUCCGCGUCGACUGCGUCAUACCCGACGACCCGCCGCCCUCCUCCGCCUCCUCCUCCCCGCCGCCAGCCCCCGCGCGGGGGCGGGGCGCGCUGGCCCACAUCGCGCGCUUCCUGCUCGGCGGCAUCGUCCGGCCCAUCCAGGCGCUCGGCCAGAUCCUCUCCCCGACCCUGGCGCUCGUCUCGCGCCGCUCCCUCGCCCCGCCUCCCACCGCCCCCGCUCCUCCCCCCGCCGGGGACAUAUCCCACCACUCCCCCGCCGAAGUCCUCCGCUCCUUCAAGGACCUCCGCCGCCUCCGCAUCGAGCUGCCCGCCGGCGAGCUCGGCGUCGACGACGGCGUGCUCCUCCGCUGGAAGGCCGACUUCGGCUCCACCCUCCGCAGCUGCGUCAUCCUCGGCGCCUCCUCCGUCUCCCCCAACCCACCACAACCAACCUCCUCCCCCACCGCCACGGACAGAGAGCCCGAAGAGCUGUCUAACAUCCCCGAAUCCCUGCACACGAACGGGGGCCUCAAGCUCCGCGUCGUCUGGACGAUCAGCUCGCUCAUCGCCGCCUCGGCGCGGCACUACCUGCUGCAGCCCAUCAUCACGGACCACGGCACGCUCGACAGCCUCAACCUCACGGACGCCGACGGCCAGGGCGUGCUCACCAUGGACAGGGCGCAGCUGCAGGAGCUGCGCGCGCGGCCCCUCUCGGUGUCCGGGACCUCGCACCGCACGCUCAUGCCCUCGCUCAUCAUGCGCCUCUGGUACGCCCCGCACAUCGAGCUUCCCGGGGGAGUGCUGCUCAAGGGUGCCACGCUGGUGGCCAUUAGACCUAGUGACGACGUGCUCAAGGAGGGGGGAGGCGCUGAGGCCGCUGGUCCGGCCGGUGCGCCCUGGAUCUCGGAUGCCUUUGAGGAGCCAUAUCGGACCGCCGCCAAGGCGCUUUUCAAGCGCAGGACAUACAGCCUUGAGAUGAACUCCUUCUGACCUUCACCCAGUUUGACCUUCUAGCAGGACAGCGGCGAGGGACGUUCUGAAUAUCAAAUUACCAAAGCUGCACCCGGAGACUUGGGCUGCAGAUGUUUUGUGUGAGUCAUGGUGGUCGCAAGAGGAGCGAGCCAAAGUGAUCACAAUUAUGUGGUCCAUCUGGUCAUCCAGAAACAAAUGGACACACGGUGAAAAGGGCUUUGAUCCAAGCGUGGCAAUCAAGGUAGUGCAGGAUACUCUGCUGGAGCUGGAGUUACCACCUAAGAAUGAUGGCCAAAGGACCGUGAGGCCUGAGUGUACCUGGCAUGGGCCAAGUACAAAUGUGAUAAAACUGAAUAUCGAUGGUGCAAUAAAUGCUCAUGAAAAUAUUGCUGGUUCUGGGGGUGUCGCAAGGGAUGCAACAGGUGGUUUCAGGGGUGCAUGGUGUAAAGCUUACUCAGGCAUCGUUGAUCCACUUGCAUCAGAGGCACUGGCGUUUUGUGAUGCUGUACUGUUUGCUCGGGCUCAUAAUUUCAGUCAAGUCAUGGUUGAAACUGACUGCUCGGAGCUAGUUCGCCAUUGGGAAGAAAGGAUAAGGAACCGUCCUGUGAUUUCUUCAAUUCUUCAUGAAGUUAGUGAGUUAAGUUUAGAUUUCCAAGUGUUUUCCUUUUCUUUUGCUCGUCGCUCCGCAAAUAACUCUGCACAUGAAUGUGCACGGUAUGCCUGCCUGCACAAUCUGUCAGAGGAAUGGACGGAGGCGAGCCCAGUUUUCCUUCGAAACAGCCUUAGAGCUGAUUGUAAUGGUUCUAUGACGACUUAAUAAAUGUCAUGGUGUUCUUAAAAAAAGGUAACUAGAAAUUAGCAAAAACAACAGUUCAUUUUCAACUGUAGCUAUAAACUAAGAGCAUAAUGACUAUGCAUAUAAGCAUAUGAGCAAAUCUAUUGAAAAAAAAUCAGAAAGUCCAAAAUCUUGAUGUAAUGGAUGGUUCUCUUAUUGGUUGCAAUGCUACUUUGAUUAAUUCAGACUUUCCAGAAUUGAUAAAUUGGUGCAAUGGAAAUGUAUCAGUAAAUCUAUAUUACUAUGGUUUCUUAAAAUAUUAUUGUGGGAUUUUACAUUUAUAUCUUACAUCAUAUUUAAUGCUAAAAUGCUAUUGCAAAUUGCUUCUGCAAUAUCUACCGUAGCUUUUGCUCGGACCUUGCAGCGAAGCCACAAUUUAUAACCUUGCUAAUAUCCUAUAUGCCCUAAGUGUUACACAGAACGAAACCAAGGUUUCAGUUCUUCACGAUUCAGAAUCUUAUAAGAGACCUAGACCCCAAUUCUACAAGAUUAAUAAAGACUAUUUGGCCAAACCAUAACUAUUGCGAAACAUAGAUUGCUUUAUGGUGAACAAAACUUUGAAUUUUGUUGGCGAUCAGCCUUAUGGCUAUGGCUUAUAGCUCAAGAUUUUCUAUGUAUCUAGGUUAUAUUAGUAAACAGAAAGUAUUUACUUAUUUAGGUUAGUCACUUCUACUGUCAUGCUGUUGGCUUUUCUAGACUAGCACUGAGCUGGCACAUUGUGUUCCCCUUUUGGCUUAGUAUGGGCUCUUUUCAAAGUUCAGAAUUGCUCAAGUGCUCUCCACUCCAGCUAUUUUUAUGUGACUUUUUUAGUUCCUUCCUGUUCCAACCAGCAUAUCUUUUCUUUCUUACUUGUAAAGAUAGGAGCUGGUGGUGCGUUCACUCCUCUCCUUCUCUCUUUUUAACUCACUUGUGGGGCCACACACAACCUUGUAAAAGCCACGAAUAAACAAAACGCUCCCUUACUUGCAUGUGGGACCUGAGUACCUGACACAAACAAACAAAUGCACUUUGACUUACAUGUGGGACCAACACUCAUGUAAAAUGGAUGAAUAAACAAACAGAAAAUGAGGCUCGAACUGAAAAUCCAUGCUCUUAGCAAUUUUUUUUGUACUUGCAAAGAUUGUAGUUGUUGCUGAGUGCACUCCUCUCCCUCUCCCUUCACUAUUACUUACUUGUGGCACCAUCAACCCCUACAAAAGUGAUAAAUGAAUGAAUGCACCCUUACUCAUAUGUGGGACCUGACACAAAUAAACAAAUGCACUUUUACUUUAAUGUGGGACCAAUUCUCUUGUAAAAUGGAUGAAUAAACAAAUAAAAAAUGAGGCUCCAACUAAAAAACCAUGCCCUUGGUUAUAGUUUCUUUGCCCAGCCAGUUUUGUAUAGCAGAAAUGAGUGAAUGAUACUACCUAGUCUAACACGAUAAAAGACCUGAUCGCCAUCCUCCUAGUCUCUCCUUCCUAAUACACGGCAUGUUCUAAUUGUAUGGGUCAGAAAUAAUGCGCUCAGUCUCGUUAUCUUGUCAAAGACUACGGGGACUAUUUGCCACUUGUUAACCUGAUGAAGCGCACCAGAGAUUUCUAGGAUGACAGGAUGCGCCUCACACAUAUGCGAAGUAUACACACCAUGUAUAGCGAAGUGGAAUGGAAUGUUAUAUCUACAGCAGAAGCACCUUGAAGUGAAACCAUGAUAUGUUCCAUACGUGAGGUUGUGGUUCUUCUCUAUGGCUCACCCAUCCAUAUUAUAUUUCAGGGAAUCAUUUUUUCAUGUUUCUGCCCCUGUUAUUCUGCUAGCUCUAUAUACUGAACUGUAGGCUAAACAUUUUAUCAUUUCUAGACACGUUUGGGCUAUGCUGUCGUACGUGUUUUGAAUGGUUGGGCCUUUAUGUGUCUCGGACUUUAGACUGGUUACAUUUUUGAAUUAUAGACUAAACAUGCUCUCAUUUCCUGGAA